GAUGAACGCUAGCGGCAGGCCUAAUACAUGCAAGACGAACGGUAAGUUGAGUAGCAAUACUUAGCCAAGAGUGUCGUACGGGUGCGUAACACGUAUGCAACCUACCCUAUACAGGAGGAUAGCCUAGGGAAACCUGGAUUAACCCUUCAUAGUAUUAUUGGAUGGCAUCAUUUGAUAAUUAAAACUGAGGUGGUAUAGGAUGGGCAUGCGUCUGAUUAGUUAGUUGGCGGGGUAAUGGCCCACCAAGACGAUGAUCAGUAGGGGUUCUGAGAGGAAGAUCCCCCACACUGGCACUGAGAUACGGGCCAGACUCCUACGGGAGCAGCAGUAGGGAAUAUUGGUCAAUGGAUGCAAGUCUGAACCAGCCAUGCCGCGUGCAGGAAGAAGGCCUUCUGGGUUGUAAACUGCUUUUGCCAGGGGAUAAAAUUUCCAUGCGUGGAAAACUGAAGGUACCUGGUGAAUAAGCCACGGCUAACUACGUGCCAGCAGCCGCGGUAAU
rnacentral:rRNA from 1 species